GAUGAAGAACGUAGCGAAAUGCGAUACGUAAUGUGAAUUGCAGAUUUCAGUGAAUCAUCGAAUCUUUGAACGCACAUUGCGCCCGCCAGUAUUCUGGCGGGCAUGCCUGUUCGAGCGUCAUUUCAACCAUCAAGCCUUCGCUUGUGUUGGGGCCCCGCGGCUGCCGCGGUCCCCUAAAUCCAGUGGCGGGCUCGUCGUCGUACCGAGCGCAGUAGACAUCCUCGCUCCGGGAACCCGACGGGUGCCGGCCGUGAAACCCCCCACAUCAAGGUUAACCUCGGAUCAGGUAGGAAUACCCGCUGAACUUAAGCAUAUCAAUAAGCGGAGGA
rnacentral:misc_RNA from 1 species